ACUCAACCUAUUUCUCCA
rnacentral:snRNA from 1 species